ensembl:snoRNA LOC120094518 small nucleolar RNA SNORA17
CCUGCCCCUAGAGGCAUUGCAGGUAUGGCUGCUGGAUAGCAUGCUUGUCGGUAGGUGGUAGAGAGGAGAGAGAAGUUCAGUAUAGUGACCUAUGAACUGCUGUAUGAUUAGUAGCAUAGCAUU